UGCACACUCGUGCAUAUUCGAGAAAAAAAAGAACCUACCGAGCCUUCUGUCCGUGUAGUCUGCAACUUGACAAGGGAAAGCAAACGGAAGCUCAUGGAACUGACGCAACCAUGAUCACACGCUUCGACGUGGCAAGGUGAAAUUUUAUGGAAGAGACCAAGAGGAGUUGCUUCACGUGCUUAAUCACCGAUGUGUACAAAUGCAUAAACAGUGAUGAAUACUUUCUCAUGAAUUUUAAUUUUCCCCUCCAGUCACAACAUCAUUGAUUCCUUGUAUUAAUAUACACCUAAACUGAUGGUUUUAUCUAAUUCUAAGAAAGGCACAUUGCAAGGUAUAUUUAGACAUUAGAAUAUAUAUGUAUGCCCUUGUUGCAAUGCACGGACAAUGUAAUAAUCUUUAUUCCUUUGCA